rnacentral:rRNA from 1 species
GACGAACGCUGGCGGCGUGCUUAACACAUGCAAGUCGAACGGACAGGCCCGGCUUUUGUGGGGUGCUCGAGUGGCGAACGGGUGAGUAACACGUGAGUAACCUGCCCUUGACUUUGGGAUAACUUCAGGAAACUGGGGCUAAUACCGGAUAGGAGCUCCUGCUGCGUGGGGGGGGUUGGAGAGUUUCGGCGGUGUGGGCUGGACUCGCGGGUUAUCAGCUUGUUGGGGGGGUAGGGGCUUACCAGGGCUUUGACGGGUAGCCGGCCUGAGAGGGUGGCCAGCCACAUUGGGCCUGAGAUACGGCGCAGACUCCUACGGGAGGCAGCAGUCGGGAAUAUGGCACAACGGGCGGAAGCCAGAUGCAGCAACGUCGCGUGCGGGAUGCCGGCCUUCGGGUUGUAAACCGCUUUCGCCUGUGCCGAAGCGUGAGUGACGGUAACGGGUAAAGAAGCACCGGCUAACUACGUG